CAAACCGACACAGGUGGGUGAGGAGAGUAUCCUAAGGCCAGCGAGAGAACUGUUGUUAAGGAACUCGGCAAAAUGACCCCGUAACUUAGGGAUAAGGGGUGCCACCAUCAGGUGGCCGCAGAGAAUAGGCCCAAGCGACUGUUUACCAAAAACAUAGGUUUCUGCUAAGUCGCAAGACGAUGUAUAGGAGCUGACGCCUGCCCGGUGCUGGAAGGUUAAGGGGAUCUGUUAGAGCAAUCGAAGCAGUGAACUUAAGCCCCAGUAAACGGCGGCCGUAACUAUAACGGUCCUAAGGUAGCGAAAUUCCUUGUCGGGUAAGUUCCGACCCGCACGAAAGGCGUAACGAUUUGGGCACUGUCUCAACAACAGACUCGGUGAAAUUGUAAUUCCGGUGAAGAUGCCGGAUACCUGCGACAGGACGGAAAGACCCCAUGGAGCUUUACUGUAGCUUGACAUUGGGUCUUGGUACUACAUGUACAGGAUAGGUGGGAGGCUUUGAAACCAGGACGCCAGUUUUGGCGGAGCCAUCCUUGGGAUACCACCCUUGUAGUACUGGGACUCUAACCAUAGGCCAUGAAUCUGGUCUUGGGACACUGUCAGGUGGGCAGUUUGACUGGGGCGGUCGCCUCCCAAAAGGUAACGGAGGCGCUCAAAGGUUCUCUCAGUACGGUCGGAAAUCGUACGUAGAGUGUAAAGGCAAAAGAGAGCUUGAUUGCAAGACAUACAGGUCGAGCAAGGAUGAAAAUCGGACUUAGUGAUCCGGUGGUUCUGCGUGGAAGGGCCAUCGCUCAACGGAUAAAAGCUACCCUGGGGAUAACAGGCUUAUCUCCCCCAAGAGUCCACAUCGACGGGGAGGUUUGGCACCUCGAUGUCGGCUCAUCACAUCCUGGGGCUGUAGUAGGUCCCAAGGGUUGGGCUGUUCGCCCAUUAAAGUGGUACGCGAGCUGGGUUCAGAACGUCGUGAGACAGUUCGGUCCCUAUCCGUCGCAGGCGUAGGAAAUUUGAGAAGACCUGUCCUUAGUACGAGAGGACCGGGAUGGACG
rnacentral:rRNA from 1 species